AUACUAAACUUUCAGUAGCUCCUCUGUUUUCAGAUUAAAUGCUGCAUAAAAUCCAUAAAAUGAAGAUUUUUUACUUAGAUUGCCAAUUACUUUGUAUUUUUCCAAAGGUGUUUUCUGACAUUCCAUUCAUAUCAAAGACUAAUUUUUGAAUUAGUCUGUGUGAAUCCUGCUACCAAAAAAAAAAAAAAAAAAAAAAAAGUAUGAAUAUUUACUGAAAUACUGCUUUUUGAGCCAUAACAAUUAUUAUUAACAUCAAAGAAAGUGAAGCAAAUCUGUAACAUAUGCUAUUUCUUAGCAUGCCUGAACAAAAUUGUUGGCUUUUGAGAGACUGUAUAGGUUUAGAGCUCUCAUGCUCUUAACAUCACAGGUGUCCUCAACCUUACCUAUGCUAAAUCUCGCCCAUUCACAAAGCAAUGUGGUGCCUAGCAGUUGUCAAACUUGGCAACAUCUGUUUCCAUAACAGUGCUAAGAGAGCUAAUACAGAGACUCUGCAUGAGUUGUUAUUUGUUCUUGCAAUGACCAGGAGUAAUGCCAAAAAGAAAUACUGUCCUUGGUCAUACCUGGUAGAGCAAGGUGCUAAUGUGGGACUUGGCUUUCCAUUCUGCCAUGGGAAAUGGAAGUGAAAGAUAUUUAUUUAUUAGCCUGGAAUCUUUGCCUUUAUUUUUUCAGGAUUCACAAAGCACAAUCUGUAACAUCAACAUGUUAAUAUUCUCUUUGUUAAAUGAGAAUAAAACUGAAGUGUUUCUGUUAUCAAAUUUAAGUAUAUAAGAUUGCAAACUAUACCGUUGGGGCUGAAAAACAAAGGAGGGCAUUCAAUUAAUAUUCAUAUCUAGAAGUUUUACUGCAAGUGUAGAUUGUGCUUGAAUACUUAAGAAGUCAUUCAGAAGUGAAUCAAUACUAAUUAUUGUAAUCAGGAGGGUUAAUUAGCUGAAGAUGCUGCUGAUGGAAAGUUCACUGCUUACAGCCCUGAAAACACCUAAGUUGAUGAAAUCUGAAAGCAAGAUGUCGAGGAGGACUUUGUAUAGAAAGAAAGGCUUAGCUUUCCUUUGACAGUUGUUCCAAAGGGGAAGCGUGCCUUUUACUUUGUCUUUUGCAUGAUAUUUAUUUGGGGAAUAUUAGAAGAUGCAACUAAAUCUAUCUUGAUAUUUUGUGGUAGUUUCUCAUUAAAUGCAAGUACCAUUUUGGAUAACCUGUACUGUCUCCACAGCAUUCAUUUGCAGAUUACCAUAAAUUAAUAUGGAUAAUCCUAUGCAUUUGAAAUCUUGUUCCAGCACUGUUAUGGAAAGCAAUUAUUUUUAUUUUCUUUGCCAUUUAUGUGCACGCAUGGGGUCCUUCCAUGUUCUGUAUACAUAAAUUGCACAUGCUCUCUGUCUAACAUGCAGGUAUACAUCGGUGUGUAUGUACACCACAUGCACAUGUGCACACAAGUUUAAACAUUUGUUUAUUGUGACUGUUUAUUUCUAUAAUCCCCUUCCCCUAGAAGUUAGUUUUCAUCUGCAAAAAAUUAUUCAACUACACAUAAUUCAGGGAUGAGCUAUUGAACAAGUAAUUCAUGAAAUUUAAGUCAGAUUAUAAGGGAUAAAAGCUGAAAACAAACAACAGAAGAAAACCAUUAUCUUUUCCCUUAAUUAGAGCACUUGUGUUUCUUAAAGUGAGCGUUACUGAAUUCAGGAACAUCUAACUAUACCAAAUCAUAUCUCACAGAUGAAUUGUGGCAAGCUUUUUUCUCUUAUGGUGGCUAGUUUUUGUGUUGUAUUUUUUCCCUCUAGUUACAUCUGCUAGGGUUAUAACCAAGAUGAAUGUCUGGACAUUUAUCUGAGCACAUUGUAAAAAAAUAAAAUAAAAUCUCUCUCUUUCACACACACGCUCAUGUAAACUCCCUGAUGUGAAGUGAUGUUUUUAAAAGAAAGAAAUUCUGUUUCAAAACAUAUUCUUCUUCACUCUCUAAUACAUUAGAGAUUAUUAUGUGCAGGUGCUGUUUGUCUUUGCAACUGCUUCCCUAUGACUGUUUUACUGCUUCCAACACGUUUACUUGUAUGUCAGCCAUAUAAAAGGGAACUGAAAAUGGCAGCUGUUGAGAAAGCAUGUCGCCAUGCCUGGAAUGACAUGCAUUAUCAGGGCAGCAGGAGUUGCUGGCUCCACAGCCCAUUCCGACUUGACCUGCUGAAUGAUUGGCUGCCUGGGAUAGUGAUGAAUCGCUGGAGUUUAUGAAACAGGACUGCUGGCAUCCUCACAGAGGAAACAAAAGCUGGAUUUUUCCUCUAACUCUCAUGUCAUGGCAAAAACACAGCUUUUCUGUUGUUGCUUUGCUUUUGUGUUACUUCACCCUGCAGCGGAAGCAAAUGCAGCAAUUAAACUCACUUUAAUACUGGUCUUGGCAAGUUAAUGCUGCGCUGAAGAUUAACUCUCUUUCUGGGAUGGAUAAAGACAGUGAAUGUCUAAGUAAGAAUUUUCCCAAAUUUAGGGUGAAUCUUGAUCUGGACCCUAAUGUUUUCAUCUCCCAUUCCAGUCUUGAGACUUACAUACCCUAAGUACUAAUGAGCUCAAGCAGGAUGCAGAAUGGAUUUUAGCUACUCUUACAACUUUAUUCUCUCUGCUCUGCUAAGGAGCAGUGACCAUUUCUUGGGCUAAUAUCAGACAGAUGCAUCUUCAGGUUUUCUCAACUAAUGGCCAAAUUAACAUUGCUGGAAAGCAUCGGCUCUCAAAUUUGCACUCAGUGUCUAGGUGGUUCAUGAAAUUAUAUUAUGCAUUAAGACCACAUUACUGGAUUAGGCUCUUAAGAGUCAGUACUUGUAGGAAAAAACUGUGGUCUGUAAACCUGCACUGGUGCACCAAGAAAGACACAGUAUGGAUCACAAGCUGCCCUGUAAAACGCAGCCAAGUAAAAAAUGAUCCUUUUAUUUCAAUUAAAGCACCCAAAAUUGUGUUUAGGAGUGGGAUUACUUGCUUGUCUGUCCAUGCAGCUAACUUGGUGCUGGUGUGCUAGCCUGUGUCUCUCAUUCUGGUAGAAUAAACUAAUUUUAGGUCAAUUCUCUGAUUCAAAGGAAUAGGAUUACCAAAAAAAUUGCUUAGGAAGUUUUAAAUAUUGCACUUAUAUGAAGAUAAUGCUUUCUGCUGUUACAUUAGAGAGGGUUUUUCCUGAGUCUUACGCUUUGCUGCCUAAGCUUUUCUCCUCCAGUUCUAAAAAGCAAUUUGCAUGCUUGCAUUCGCUAUUAGACUUUUUCACCUUCCUCCAAAUAAUUCAGCAGUGGCUGCUGCUAGGCUCUGGAUGCCAUAGAGGCUGAAUCGCUUCUGUUAUUUAAGUCACAUCCUUCUUGAUGUCCCUGCAACGAUUCUGAAACUGAGGAGGGCAAACUUUUACCGUACGGAAAGUGGUGGCAUCAGGAACUGUUGCAUGUGCCUUUGGGUGCACAAGGGGGAAACACUGUCCUUGCUUCCGAGUUCCCAUGGCAGCAAAUCAGCAGGUCAUCUUUGAGAGCAGCCUUUGAGGAUGCCAGACAACAGUCUGUCACGAGGAGGAAAACAGAGCAGAGGGCUGGAGGGGAAAAAAUAACAGAAAAUCUGAGAGGGAACGUGGGAAUUUGCUAUCCCUUUUAGACAAAUAGAGGAGAGAAGAGAAAAGCAAGGGCAUCCUGACGUGGAUCAUCUGGAAAUUGAACCUUGCAAGUGUAGAUAGCUGUGGAUGAUGCCAUGGCUGUGCUAUGGAGUGAAUUUAAGAUUCAAAUCCUGCACCUGCUCUCCCUGGAAGCUGCAGGUCAGCAUCUGAAGAAUUGAAGACCUCUAGAAAAGAAACGGUGAAUUAUCAGAAAACUUACAUUCUAAGAGACUCUAUUUUCAACAAUCUCUUGGUUUCGUUUUCUUUCUCUUCUGCCUAAAAAAUUAUCUAUUUUCAGUUAAAAUGCGAGGAAGAAGCUCACUCUAAAGCUUGAAAAUUUGCCUGCAUCAUUUCAGCCCACAUUUAAUUUUAAUGAGAGAGUUAUAUAACCUCCUUUAAAAAUAACAAAACACUAACAGAACUGCAUUGGCAACAUCAGGUGUUCUGCAGAACUGCUCAGAUGAAUCAUAUGGAGAUCUGCCUGUGAACGUCUGAUGAACACACAUUUAACUUAGUUAACCCCCACGCCUGAAUGUAGCAAUCCAAAGUGACCAAAUUUUUUUCUGACGAGUUGUUUUCACAAAAGGAUACCAAAAUAGUUGCCAGCCUUAGGGCCUCAUGGCUAAUCAUUUCUGUGCUAUUUAAUGGAUUCAAAAGUUCCAUAUGAAUUAUUGUGACUAUACAAAACAAACAAACAAAAAAACAAACAAAAAAAAGUGAAAAUUUUAUGUUAAAAACUGAGCUAGCUGGUUUUUAAUGUCUUGCUUCAGAACGGGAAGCCAGCAUUCCUAUUUGUUGUACUGAGCCUGAAAUCUCUGAAAUUGUUAAGAGCAUCCCAUUAACAGGCAGCUCUGGGAGAAAUAAACAUUUGACUUUAUAAAUGUUCCUUUGGGAGAGAGAACUCAGGGAAAAAGAAAUCAGAAUCGGUGAUUGUGAACCUGUUAAACAACUUGGUUUGGACUCAGUCUUUGACUUCAGAAUGUCCCCAAGCAACUGGUUGCUGGAAGAUAGAAAGGAUGACAGUACACUUGCCCUACUCAUUCUCUAUCUCUGCGCAUCCAUUACAAGCUAUUAUCAGUGACAGGGCAUGGACUAGGUGGACCUUCUGAUCUGACCUAUGUGACAAUCCUCACAAUGCAGGUUUAGGGAAAAAAUAAAAAUACAAACAGGCAGGGUGCAGUUUUCUGCACGUCCAAAUGCAUUACAGUUGCUGUAGGAGCCUUUUCUUUCUUCCCUUCAUGUCUGAUUUAAUGGAUUCUGUCUGCAGGAAAUAACAAUGUCAAACAAAGCUAGUUACUUUACAUAUUAUCAGAGUGAUUGUUUGUUAUUUCUGAGGACCAAGAUGUAUGCCAGGCACUUCACUAACAAAUGAAAAAAGACCUUAAAGAUGUUGCAAAUUGAGUGUAAGGCGAGGGCCAAUUGUUGGCAGUAAAAAGGAAAGAAAAACACGUGGCAGCAGUGAAUGGAAAGGAAGACAGAGAUGAAGAUCCUGCAGUUACUCAAAGGUGCAUGACAGAAGAUUAAUUUAGAUCCUGUAAUAAACCCCACAAAUUUGUUUUCAUUUGUUUUUUUAAAAAAAAGUCUACUUCUGGCUUCUUGUCUCUUUCAGUGUCCCUUAUCCAUCCUCUUGCCAUGCUGCUGUCAUAUCGUAAUUUUACAAUUGCCUUUGCCCAUUGCUUUGGGAAUUGCUUCCCUUAGCACUAACUCCAGAUCCAGCACUUACCUGUACCCAGCCCAUACACCCUCUUCCACUGUCUCUCCCACAACAGCCAGCCUCCAAGCUGGACAAAAACCUUCAGGAAUCUCAAAUUGAUAAUAAAAUGGGGGAGUUUUUAUUGUCUCCUAGUAGUUGUCACAGUGACUUCGCACUAAGAUAUGUUUGAUUAUGGUGGGCUUUUCCCCUGCCCAGUGAAGGCAUUUGUGAGAAUGGAGUUUCACACAUAUGAGCACCCAUCUUGUCUUACAAGCUUAUGCUUCUUCGCCUGAAGAUACUACAAAAGCCAAAUCCAAUCAUAUGAAGUCUCCAUUAUAGGUUGCUCUUCUAGAGUUGUAUGGAAAUGUGGGUUCUUUUUGCUAAAGUACCCAUUAUUUAGAAGGAAAUCAGAUUUGCCCAGAGCAUGCAGAACCCUUUUUACUUUACUGGUGGGGUUGCAGUUGGUGCUGGAAUCAGUGAGUGGCAAUACAGUUCAUAAAAUAUAAAAUAAAAUUUAAAAAAAAAAAAAAAAAAAAAAAAAAAAAAGAGGAAAAGGGGAAAAGGAAACAGGAAAAAGAAAAAGAAAAAAAAGGAUAAAGAAAAAGUCAAUGCCUGUUGCCAAGUUUGUGAGAGGACUGGGUUGGUCCUGUGUACCUACGCACAAGGCACUAUACAAAGGCAACACUUACAGAUCAAAAGCCAUGCUCUUCAGUAGGGUUGUAAACAAAACAACAGGAAGGUGACUCUGGGUCCUAGAUAUUUAGAUUGCUACGGAGAGCCCAACUGGAACACAUGAUGGCCAGAUGCUCAGCAGGAUUUGACUCCAUUAGUCAUAAGUGACCGUCCCAAGUAUUUGAAUGCUGUUAGCAAAGUUGGGUGUUCCUCCAAAGCUUUGUAAAAGCCCUCAGUAGCCUUGAGUGUCCACCUCAUGCCACAACACCUUGCCUAAUUGUUUCACGAAGAUUGAGUUAUUACCUGCGAAAUGGAAUAAAGGCCUCAUACCCAGAGUUUGAUAAAAUCACCCCUACAGUGUAUAAAAUAGAAAGGAAAAAAAAAAAAUGAGUAGGAAGUUUUACUAUAGCAACCAAGUUUACAUAAUAUCAGUAUGCUUCAAGUGAAAGCUCUAGAAAUGCUUAAUUUGAGGUACCUUUUUCCAGGGCUAAUUUUAAAUGAGGUUUAUUUCUGAAAAUUACUGAUUAGCUGCUACUGAGUAGCCCAUUGGUUCCUCCUCAAUAGCAACUAAGAUUUCAGUACUCAAAAUUCAUUGAUCAGUUCUAGCUAAUAAUUUAAUUUUCUUUCAAAAGCUUUUGGUUGUGUGCAAACUGUUCUGUAUCUCAAAGCAUGAUGAAGGGACAUAUGUUAUGUGGGGUUUUUUUGUUUUAGGAGAAAUCAUAAAGCAAAUAAAAAUUCCUUACUCAAAGUUUAAAGGUUUGUAAAGCAAAACUUUAUUCCAAUGUCAAACCUAACUGUUAAAGAUGGACUUGUUACAAAUAAUCAAAGUACUUGCAAAGGGUAAAAUUGUACAGAAUUGGGUCCAUUACGUUGGCUGCUCAAGGAAUUUUACUGCUUUCCACAUUAAUUGCUUACUGCUUUCACACAAUUAUGCAGCUCUGCACAGAUGCUUUGUUCAAUUCGUGCUUGUGUGCUUUGCUUUUCUUUCCACUGCCUUUCUUGAACCUCCAGAAGUGAAGCCCAUAGAUUUUCUGGUCACUGAUAGACAGGCAUGCUCAUUUCCUACCACAAAAACAAGAUGCUCUAUUUUCCUCUAUUAGCCAUGCUACUCUUUCCCAGCUCAUGGCUUACCCAGGAGGUGUUUCUUUCUGAUAGAUAGCAAACACCUGAUUUGCAUUGGUACUGGUACUGGCACUGGUACUAUCUGGACGAGAUUUCCUUUUCCACUUGCAUUAGUGCAAGAUCGUGAGUGAUUCCACCAGAGUCACUUGAGCCUGUUCUGAAUUUGCACCACCACUGCUGAGAUCUGAUUCUGCCUCCUCUCCUAAAAACUUGCUUUGAUGCCAGAGAUAAGCUGAAUCCAGAGCAUGUUCAUUGGCUUAGGGGAGAGUAAAGCAGAGGAUUUGAACUCUCUUCGUGCUGCCUUGCAGGCUUGGUGGAGUGUGAAGUCACUCGGAAACUUUCCCUUGAAGUGAUUCCAAAGGUAGCAUUUCCUUGGUGCAACACUGGGGGGCAAGUUGAUUAAAAGAAUGGCAAUUAAGGAAUGAGUGAGAAGCAGGAUUUGGAGAGGUGAGCACUACGCUGAAUUUGGCUGUGGUACACGGAAGGCAAAGGAUGAGAAUGGUGGCGGUGAUGUCAGAGUGAAAUCAUAUAUUGAGUGAUCCGACAAGUCCUUUGUCUUUCUCCAGCCCUACCUCUAUUGCGUGGGUUUCUUUUUGAAGAGGUGUUCAUUUUCAAAGGCUGAAUUGUUUGGAGAAUUGCAUCUAACAUUAUCAGUUUGAAAAGCCUUUUAAAUGGUGACUAAUCUGCAAAUGGGAGGUAGAACUGCUCCAUCUGCUUUGUUAGGUGCAUGGAGAAACUGAGGCACUGAGAGUGCAACCGUGGAACAGAUGGGGUCUGGGCCUCUGAAAUGAGGGCACGUUGGGGAAGAGGCAUUUGUAGCUGGAAUGGAGUUAAAUUCCCCAAACUGCUGAUUCCAAAUUCCAGGUUCCUUCCUUAAAACGGCCAUAUGCUCCACAAGCUGAAAAUGCUUAAUAUCAGUGGACAAUGGUUGCACAGCAAUAAUGAAGCUCCUCUAAGCUCUUGUUUACCUCUAUUGUCUGAUACAUACUGUGAAAAUUAGUGCAGCUUCAUUUGCUAUUACCCCUCUUCAUUUCUCUCUGUACUGUAGUAACAGACCAAAGCUUCAAUUUUUUUUACCUCAGCAGUGUUCCUUCAUUUUUAAUAAAAGUUGCUAUUUUGCACACUAGUGCCCAUCAGGAAUGUGGUAAUACCGUUACAGAUAACAGAGCCAACGUGCAGAUUCUUCUUGUUGAUUUAUUUUAUUUCUCCAUAUUUGAGACUUAAUUCAUACAUACGCACUAUAUAAUUUAUGUUUGAGAGCCAUAUGAUCUGAAUGCAGUUUCUUCCUAUAAGCUUUCCUUGAGUCUUAUCUCAGUAUCUUUUAUAGGCUGGGUUUCUUUUUGCAUUUGACCCUGUUCCUGCCUCUAACUUUUAAAUGGCAAAAGCAAAUGUGCUUUGAAAAGUGUGUUACACUGUAGUUGUUAAAUAAAGCAAUAACCUAUGCACUUGUAAUGCUUUCUCUAUGACCUACUUACAUACUACUUCACCCUCCUUAUAGUAUGAUUAAAAGCUGCUUUGAAUCCACUAUUCCCUCAAGGGAUUUGAGGCUAGAAUUUAACAAACUGCUGAGAAGGCUUAAGUCAGUAAGAGGGCUUCCCUACAGCUUCUUCCAGCUAAUUCACAUGUAAUUAAAAGGAAAAUAAAUAUUUCAAAAGAACAUACGUUCUAAUGAAGCAUUUUUAAGCACUUACACCUUGUGAAAUGGGGUGGAUUUAUAAAGAACUCACUAUCUCAUGGUCAGAUUUCUAACAAAAUCAUUUGUGAUGCUUCUCUGCUCCCCAUCCUUUCUAUCCUAUGACUUUUCAGCCAGCAGCGGUGGGAAUGCAGACCUUGAAAGUGGCUGGGGAGAGUGACGUCUCUCAGAUGUAGCACCAGCAAAGCGAUGGAGAGGUACGGAUCCAGCCACACGGGGUGAAGGGAGGGUGGAGACUUCUUACAGGAAUAUCUUCAUCCUCACAGAGCUGUCUGCAUUUCUCCCCAGCUAAAACCUGCCUCUUCUGCAGUGGCAAGAUUUUGAAAUUGAAAGUUAAUCCAACUCUGCUCUGGGCUGGAUUAACCACCAUGGAGGCCUCAGAUCAAAACCCAGGCCCACGCUCUGGCGGAUGGCUGGCGGAGAGGAAUUGCGAUCAAUGGAGUAAAGGAGAGGCAUAGCUUUGCUUUGCGUUUCUCUACAGAGAUGUUUAGGUGCCACGGUGCUGAGGACAGUAUGCAAACAUAUAGAACAGAGCAGAUUAAUAACACCAUAGAUAUCUGUGCAGGACUGCAGCUGUCCUACGGGGAUUACGCUGAGGGCCAAGCAAACCUUUUCUUUCUUUAGACUUGCAAAGUAGGCAAAAAUUUUAGCAGCCUGAGGGUUUUUUCUUCCUUUUUAACUAUUUAAAAUGGAAAAGUACCUUGAAGAGUGCAAUAAACCGGACUCUGAAAA